rnacentral:rRNA from 1 species
UCCGGAAUCAUUGGGCGUAAAGCGCCUGUAGGUUGUUUAAUAAGUCUGUUGUUAAAGACUAGGGCUUAACCCUAGGAAAGCAAUGGAAACUACUAGACUAGAGUAUGAUAGGGGUAGAGGGAAUUUCUAGUGUAGCGGUGAAAUGCGUAGAUAUUAGGAAGAACACCGGUGGCGAAGGCGCUCUACUGGAUCAUUACUGACACUCAGAGGCGAAAGCUAGGGUAGCAAAAGGGAUUAGAUACCCCUGUAGUCCUAGCCGUAAACGAUGGAUACUAGAUGUUGCGUUUUUUGUGCAGUAUCGUAGCUAACGCGUUAAGUAUCCCGCCUGGGGAGUACGCUCGCAAGGGUGAAACUCAAAGGAAUUGACGGGGGCCCGCACAAGCGGUGGAGCAUGUGGUUUAAUUCGAUGCAACGCGAAGAACCUUACCAAGGCUUGACAUACUACAAAUUUCUUUGAAAGAGGAAAGUGCCUUCGGGAAUGUAGAUACAGGUGGUGCAUGGCUGUCGUCAGCUCGUGUCGUGAGAUGUUGGGUUAAGUCCCGCAACGAGCGCAACCCUUGUUUUUAGUUGCCAAUUUUUUGGGUUUUCUAGAAAGACUGCCGGUGACAAACCGGAGGAAGGUGAGGAUGACGUCAAGUCAGCAUGCCCCUUAUGUCUUGGGCUACACACGUGCUACAAUGGUUAAGACAAAGAGUUGCGAACUUGUGAGAGUUAGCUAAUCUCGUAAACUUAGCCUAAGUUCGGAUUGUAGGCUGCAACU